rnacentral:misc_RNA from 1 species
GACAUAUAAUCUGUUCUAAGAAUAUUUUAAAACAAUAAUAAUAGAAGUAACCAGAAUGAGAGACAAAGGAUGUAGAUUCAGCAAGAUCAAACACAUAAAAGAAAAGCAAUAAGGUUCAAAAACAAAGAUUAUCCUAGACUUCUGAAUGAUUAAAUCUGUGUUUGAAAGUUCAUACACAAAACAAAACUUUGGCUCACAAUAAUCAGCAAGAAAAGUCUAUGGCCACAAAUGCAAGUAGAAAAAAGUUUCAAGAAUUGCCAUAUAUUCUUUAUCAUUAUUGCACCUAUAAUGGUAAUCCUACAUCCCAAUCACAAGAACAACAUGCGAACUGGUUUUAGUGUUGCCAAAUCUCUAAAUCAGUAAAGCUUUCUAAGUUUAAGCAAGUAGCUCACUUCCAUUGGACCUCAAUUGGUCAAUGAUUGUUAAGAUCAAAGUCAUUGUAAUUUUAUAGGACGCUCUAUGAAAACAUGAUAUAUUGAUUUGAUAGUUCUCAAGAACCCAAAUUGAUCAGACCUUAUAUUGUAGAAUAGAAUGUUUAUUAACAAAUAUCAACAAUCCAGCUUGGAAAACCCUCUUUCUAAUAACUACAAAGCUACUAGUAUCAGGAAACAAUCACAUUAACUAUCAUAUAUUUUCCACAUUAGAUGAACACUAAAACAAUCCAAUGAAUAAUGACCAGUUUGACCCACUAAGAAAUAUCAACAAAAGAGACGAUGUGUUGCUUUCCUGAAUUAGGAAAUAGGCAAAUUAAAAAUCAAAUCAGUUUAUAGUCCUCAUCUAACAAACUCCUCUCAGUGAAGCUAAUGGCAUCUUUUACCCACCAAAAAAUAUCAAAGUGCAAGUAAAGUCUGUCAAUUUUUAUUCAGUGCUUUAAUUAAACGGCAAGCUUACGGCAACUGUCAUGUGAUCUCAAAACUACAACUCUUUUGUGCUAAAUUUUCUUUCUUUCUCACAAGUGUUUGCGCAUGAGUAAAACAUUCUAAGAAAUAAACAGAUCCUUAUCAAAUAGUCUAGCUCUUAUAAUUUCUACUAACCAAUUUAAC